ensembl:rRNA 5S_rRNA 5S ribosomal RNA
AAAACUUGCUGUACCACCUUGAAAACACCUAAUCUCAUCUCAUCUAGGAAGCUAAGCAGGGUUGGGUCUGGUUAGUACUUGGACAAGAGACUACCGGGAAUACCAAGUGUUGUAGGCUUUA